rnacentral:rRNA from 1 species
AGUGAACGCUGGCGGUAGGCCUAACACAUGCAAGUCGAACGGCAGCACAGUAAGAGCUUGCUCUUACGGGUGGCGAGUGGCGGACGGGUGAGGAAUACAUCGGAAUCUACUUUUUCGUGGGGGAUAACGUAGGGAAACUUACGCUAAUACCGCAUACGACCUACGGGUGAAAGCAGGGGAUCUUCGGACCUUGCGCGAUUGAAUGAGCCGAUGCCGGAUUAGCUAGUUGGCGGGGUAAAGGCCCACCAAGGCGACGAUCCGUAGCUGGUCUGAGAGGAUGAUCAGCCACGCUGGAACUGAGACACGGUCCAGACUCCUACGGGAGGCAGCAGUGGGGAAUAUUGGACAAUGGGCGCAAGCCUGAUCCAGCCAUACCGCGUGGGUGAAGAAGGCCUUCGGGUUGUAAAGCCCUUUUGUUGGGAAAGAAAAGCAGCAGGUUAAUACCCCGCUGUUCUGACGGUACCCAAAGAAUAAGCACCGGCUAACUUCGUG